rnacentral:rRNA from 1 species
UACAGAGGUGGCAAGCGCUGCCCGGUAUCACUGGGCUUAAAGGGCGCGUAGGCGGUGCGGUACGGUUUCGGUGAAAUCCCUCGGCCCAACCGAGGAACAGCCGGAGCUACGGCCGGACUAGACGGCAUCAGGGGACAGUGGAACUCCAGGUGGAGCGGUGAAAUGCGUAGAUAUCUGGAGGAACGCCGGUGGCGAAAGCGGCUGUCUGGGGUGCCUGUGACGCUGAGGCGCGAAAGCCAGGGGAUCAAACGGG